GCCCACAUGGCGCAGUGGUUACCGCGUGAGAUUGGAAAUCUCAUUUCCGCAAGGAUUCGCAGGUUCAAGUCCUGCUGUGGGCG
rnacentral:tRNA from 1 species